AGUGACGACAGAUGGACCCACGGAUGCAGAUGUAAUUACCACUACUGAUUCAAUAACCACUGAUGACCUAACAACUGCUCCAACAACUGAUACAACUACAUAUCAAACUCAGACUGUCAUAG